rnacentral:rRNA from 1 species
UUCCGCGUGAGUGAAGAAGGCCUUCGGGUUGUAAAGCUCUUUCAGCUGGAACGAAACGGUACGCUCUAACAUAGCGUGCUAAUGACGGUACCAGCAGAAGAAGCACCGGCUAACUACGUGCCAGCAGCCGCGGUAAUACGUAGGGUGCGAGCGUUAAUCGGAAUUACUGGGCGUAAAGCGUGCGCAGGCGGAUUGUUAAGCAAGAUGUGAAAUCCCCGGGCUUAACCUGGGAAUGGCAUUUUGAACUGGCAGUCUAGAGUGCGUCAGAGGGGGGUGGAAUUCCACGUGUAGCAGUGAAAUGCGUAGAGAUGUGGAGGAACACCGAUGGCGAAGGCAGCCCCCUGGGAUGACACUGACGCUCAUGUACGAAAGCGUGGGUAGCAAACAGGAUUAGAUACCCUGGUAGUCCACGCCCUAAACGAUGUCAACUGGUUGUUGGGGGAGUGAAAUCCCUUAGUAACGAAGCUAACGCGUGAAGUUGACCGCCUGGGGAGUACGGUCGCAAGAUUAAAACU